rnacentral:rRNA from 1 species
UGCGUAGGGUGCAAGCGUUGUCCGGAAUUAUUGGGCGUAAAGAGCUCGUAGGCGGUUUGUCGCGUCUGCCGUGAAAUCCCGGGGCUCAACCUCGGAAUUGCAUUCAAUACUGCUUCGCUUGAGCACUGGAGAGGAGGCUGGAAUUUACGGUGUAGCAGUGAAAUGCGUAGAUAUCGUAAGGAAGGCCGGUGGCGAAAGCGAGCCUCUGGACAGUUGCUGACGCUGAUGCACGAAGGCCAGGGGAGCAAACGGG